rnacentral:rRNA from 1 species
UACAGAGGUCUCAACCGUUGUCCGGAUUUACUGGGCGUAAAGAGCGCGCAGGCGGUCGUUCAAGUCGCGUGUGAAAGCCCCCGGCUCAACUGGGGAGGGUCACGCGAUACUGCUCGACUCGAAGGCAGGAGAGGGAAGUGGAAUUCCCGGUGUAGUGGUGAAAUGCGUAGAUAUCGGGAGGAACACCAGUGGCGAAGGCGACUUCCUGGCCUGUUCUUGACGCUGAGGCGCGAAAGCUAGGGUAGCAAACGGG